CUCCCGCUACAACUUAUGUUUCACUCAUUUUUGUUCCUUACUUUUUUCAAAAGAUGAAUUUGAUAGUUUUUGGUCUUAGUAUUCCUAAGCCUCUCUAAUUUCUUCCUUGGUUUUUCCGGUUGGUUCUUGGAUAGGAAUUGUGCAUCUACCUUCAAUUUUUCUUCUCUUACCAGCUGCCCAACUUGUGAUCUGACUAUUGCUUGCGACCUAAUUGUGUGCUGUAGUAGAGAGGUGCCCCAAGCGUAGGGCUUUGUCAGUUGCAACAUAACACUCGGUUAGACCGAGGUCGAAUCCACAAGGAGCCAAUGUAGCUUGGCCGGAGGUUUGUUUUAUGUAGGUGGUUUCGCAUUAAGAUGACCAACAUUUUGAGUUUGAUUAGGGUGGAAUUCUCUCUCUCUACCUCUAAUUUGACUAGAAAUGAACUUGAAAGUAAAUUUAACUAAAGCGAGGUCUAGAGGUUCAAACCAUCCACAACCUAGGUCAAUCAACUCUUCUCAAUGAUAACUCAAGUGAGAGUCAAAGCCAUUUGCUCUCACUCGGAGAAUUUGACAAUGGAAAUCUUGUUUACUUAGAAAUGGUGUUUGGAAAUGGGGUGAACUCUUUUAUGCAUUUUAUCAAACGCUUAGAGUCACAUGGUUCCAAGCAUUGUGUGUGCCAAGUCUCUUGUCUACACACAAUUAAAGAUGUUAACAACCCUAGCUUUGUAUCAAAAGGGUAAGAGCUCAACAAGUUCUUUGAGUCAUUUUAUCAAACACUUAGAGUGACAUUGCUCCAAGCAUUAUAUGUGACAAGAGAUCAAGUCCUUGUCUACACAUAAUCAAGAAGGUUAACAACCCUAGGUUUGGUUUAAAAAGGUAAGAACUUAAUCCAUUCACAAACAAGUUUUGAUGAUCAAGAUGAGAAGAUAUUGAAUAACCUAGGUCAUAAGAUGAAAAUCACCCCAUGACCAGCCCCAAGGAGGCUACCCCUCCAUGGGAAAUGAAAUCAACAAGAAAAGAGGAGAGAACACAAAACAUGAAAUUAAACUAGAACAUUGACUGAAAUGAAGAGUACUUACAUGGUUCUUGAAGAAAUUACAAGAGAAAAUGAAAAUCUAAGCUCAAUCCAUGGAGGAUUGAGAGCUAACCCUAAGAGAGGGAGGUAGAGAGAGAAAGUAAAAGGGGAGAUCACCUAGUAAAAUGGGGUUAGAAGCUAUUUAUACCCCUAAGAAGUUGUGUGUCAAAAGUCUAAAAUGUCCCUAAGUUGUUACAAAGUUGGAUUUACGUGUUCUUUGGACCGUUGGAAAGCUUGUUGAGUCUACUUUCUAACCCAAGUGAUUUGGAUCAGAAAUGAUUUGUACAUCAAAAGGUAUGACGAUUAUACCCUCAAUUGGUUGGAAAAUAAAUUGUUUUGGGUAAAAUCCUUGUAUCUCCCUCACUUCCCUUGACCCUUGGGUAUCCCGAGUAUGCUUCAAAGCUUCUUUUCAUGACUUUUCGGGCUCGAUCGCGGGGCACCACGUGGCCUCGGAGUCUUGGACACUCUUUGGUAGCCAUCCACGCGUCAAAACACGCCUUAUUCUUCCGUUCAACCUAUAACUGACAAGAACACAAACUCUGCACAAUAUCAUUCAAACAAAGUAAAUUGUGCGCGUGAGUGUGACAAAAAUGGGAGAGAUAAGCCCCUUUAUUUACACUAUUGAGGGCUUAUCAACUAUGAAAGUCUUAAACUGGAGCUCAGUAACCAUUCUGCAUCAUACGUGGACCAUUCUACUUUUUGACUUUGUAUUAUCUGUCAGACCACCGCAGUCCCCAUGCUUGUCCAAUUGAAAGAAAAAUCCCUCUCCCCCAAGAGUUGAAUGGCAUUCCUUCAACUCCUUUCCUGCCUCCAUUUUGUUCAGCUUCAUCCAUUCUACCUCCAGCCCUGGGUUUCAACUCAUCUCUACCACCAUGUAAUGCUUUAAUGCCCAACCGUUUCUGCUUCUUUUAUUCCUGCAGAAAAUGAUUCCUCGUCUUAUAUGGAAAUAUGGCAUAAAAAUUUGUGACCAUACAUUCUAAUAUAGUACCAUAGGUAUGAGUUUAAAAAACAUCUGAAAUUUCUGCUCUCCAUAGACCAUACUAGAGCACACUCCCAGUCCAGAUGAAUCUCCUGUCCUUUAUUAACCUUCGAAGCACCAGAAAAUAAUCAAGAAUGGAAAUAGCUGAAGUAUACCAUGUUUGUUGAGUCUUCCAUACCCCAUAUCACCUGAUAUCCUCAUAUAAAGUCUACUCCAGCAUCUCUGCAAACUCUAACAAGGCCUCCCGUUUCCUUCGUGCCGGGAGAAUUAUCUUUGCCUUAUUUCUAUCGAAAUUUCAGUAAAAUCUCUUGGUCAUAACUUCUUGAUUCACUGCUUCUAACAUGUUUGUGUUCUAUUUCCCACAACUGCAAACAUAUUUAACGUGAAAAAUAGUCUACGUGUCAGAAGAGGAUAAUUAUCUAGGAUUUUCAGAAAUGGUACUAUUUGAAGUUGGAGUGUCCUUUUGGACUUCAUUCCCUUGUUUUUUCGUAGUGGAUCUAACUUUUAUCCUGUUUGAUGGAUUAAGAACAAAAACAAUUUAUGUUUUUCCUUUUUUCUGUCAAUCAUUGUAGAAAAUAAAAGUGACUCAAAUUUAUAUCCUCCUUGUUGAUGACUUGAUAUUUUUCGUGUUAUGUUUUGAUGCUCCCUUCAUCAGCCUACUCCCUGAGCCCCAGUUUGUUUGUCCAAUUGUUGGAAAUGCAACUUUUUAUGGGAACAAGAUCAUUGCACAUUUAAAUGCUCAACUUUUCAAAAGUCAC